rnacentral:rRNA from 1 species
UACGAAGGUCCCAAGCGUUAUCCGGAUUUAUUGGGUUUAAAGGGUGCGUAGGCGGGUUAUUAAGUCAGUGGUGAAAGCUCCAUGCCUAACAUGGAAAUUGCCAUUGAUACUGAUGAUCUUGAGUACAUUUGAAGUGGGCGGAAUGUGUCAUGUAGCGGUGAAAUGCUUAGAUAUCGGAAGGAACAUCAGUUGCGAAGGCGGCUCUCUGGACCAGCACUGACACUGAGGCACGAAAGCGUGGGGAGCAAACAGG